rnacentral:rRNA from 1 species
CGCUGGCGGCAGGCNUANCACAUGCAAGUCGAGCGGUAGCACAGAGAGCUUGCUCUCGGGUGACGAGCGGCGGACGGGUGAGUAAUGUCUGGGAAACUGCCUGAUGGAGGGGGAUAACUACUGGAAACGGUAGCUAAUACCGCAUAACGUCGCAAGACCAAAGUGGGGGACCUUCGGGCCUCAUGCCAUCAGAUGUGCCCAGAUGGGAUUAGCUAGUAGGUGGGGUAACGGCUCACCUAGGCGACGAUCCCUAGCUGGUCUGAGAGGAUGACCAGCCACACUGGAACUGAGACACGGUCCAGACUCCUACGGGAGGCAGCAGUGGGGAAUAUUGCACAAUGGGCGCAAGCCUGAUGCAGCCAUGCCGCGUGUGUGAAGAAGGCCUUCGGGUUGUAAAGCACUUUCAGCGGGGAGGAAGGCG